ACGUAGGGUGCAAGCGUUGUCCGGAUUUAUUGGGCGUAAAGAGCUCGUAGGCGGUCUGUUACGUCGGUUGUGAAAAUCCGGGGCUUAACCCCGGACCUGCAUCCGAUACGGGCAGACUUGAGUGUGGUAGGGGAGACUGGAAUUCCUGGUGUAGCGGUGAAAUGCGCAGAUAUCAGGAGGAACACCGAUGGCGAAGGCAGGUCUCUGGGCCACAACUGACGCUGAGGAGCGAAAGCGUGGGGAGCAAACAGGAUUAGAUACCCUGGUAGUCCACGCCGUAAACGGUGGGCGCUAGGUGUGGGGAACAUUCCACGUUCUCCGUGCCGCAGCUAACGCAUUAAGCGCCCCGCCUGGGGAGUACGGCCGCAAGGCUA
rnacentral:rRNA from 1 species